rnacentral:tRNA from 1 species
GAGAGGUGGCUGAGUGGCUUAAGGCGCCGCUCUCGAAAAGCGGUGUACGGCAACGUACCGCGGGUUCGAAUCCCGCCCUCUCC